CCACAAGUCACAUGACAGGAAGUUGCAUCCUCAGGAUUUCUGGAAGAUCAAACGUCUGUUCUGGCACGUGAAGCAGGACCUGGGUGAUUCAGCAGAUGACUCUGUUUGCCCUCUGACAUGCACAACCCGAGAGCUGGCACGUUGUCCCAACGCUGAUGUCGUCGAGCUCAGCAGAGAGAGGGGGCAGGAUGUCGUGUCUCGGAGCAGCACGGCUUUGCUGGCACGCUAGAGUUCUGGAGUCCUGCCGAGAGGACAGACUCACGCUAAAAGCUUCCGCUUGGCACCGAGACGUACCUCUCAGUUCAAGUGUAAUUCAAGUCAUUUACAAUAUUGUCCUUCUGAAGAAUAAUAAAAUAUUAUUGAGUAAA